AUUCGUGCCAACAGAGCGGGGGAAAAAAUUAAAAACAAAACAAAAAGAGAAGUGAGCUCGUACAAGAAGCUUUGCUACCGUCUCAGACCCAGACCUCUCUCUCUUCCUCCAUCUCAGUCUAGAAACCAUGGCCGCCUCCUUGGAGAGAUUCUCUAUACGCGAGUACUCAGCCAAAACGAGGGGUUUCGACGUAGCCGAAUGCUGGCCAUUCGGUAAGGAUGACAGCCUGAAAUCUCUACCUCCAAUAUCAGUCCCUAAAUUCCAUUGGUGGGCCCAUGAACUCGAGGCUCGAAGACGUAAGGAAACAAAGAGCCCCAAGCAGGAGGUCCACCGUGGAGCUUUUCAAUGUGUCGCCUGAAAUCGAGGCUGAUGAAGAAGAUGAAUGGGAUGUAGACAACGCAUGUCCAAGAGAAAAUGGGUCCUGUUCAUCAUAUCUAUGCAGUACAUGAAUGAGUAUGAAAGCAGUAAUCUUCUUUAGCCGACGAAUCGCCUCGAUGAUUUGUGAAUUUUUGUAGCUUGGACCAAUAUAGUUUGUCCAAUAAGUGUAGAAUGACCUUGGGUUCUUCUAAUAAUGACAAUUUUUUGGAUGAAUAUACGUUUUAUGCAUUUCUAAGGAUGAAUGAAUACGCCGUGCUAACAAAUGAAAAAUUUGUAGUUGACAUUAAGUAUGGUAGUGCAGCUUUGAAAUGUGAAUUUGUGCCGAUAUUUAUAUAUCCUUAUAAAUGAUAAUAUAUGUUGCAAAGUUUUCUCAAACUUUAUUUUAUUCUAAUUUAACAAUUACUUUCAAAAUUCAUGUUAAAAUCACAGUUUAUUCAAGGUUAAAUUACACUAAACCCCAAGAACUUUCAGCAUUUUGUAGUAGACCCCCCCUGACUUUCAGAAUCACUCAAAACCCCCCAAUAAUUUUUGCAAAAAAAAAAGCCAAUAUCUUUUGGAUAAAUUACACUAGAUCCUCAAUAACUUUUAAAAUGCCAUUUAUGUUGUUUUUUGGUUUGAAUUUAUGGGGUUAUGUGCAAAAUGCAGAAACUUAUUGGAGGUUUUCUACAAUUUAAAAGUUAUUGGGGCUUAAUUGCGAUUUUGAAAGUUUUUGGGGGUCUUCUGCAAAAGCUGAAACUUCUUGGGGUAUAGUGCAAUUUAUCCCCUUAUUUUAUUAUUUUUUUACAAGUUAAACAUGUUGAUUUGACUAGGUUUUACAUUGGUUGUUAGCAACCUGGACACAAAACUCCUUUUUUGUCUUGGGACUAGACUUAAA